UACGUAGGGUGCAAGCGUUGUCCGGAAUUAUUGGGCGUAAAGAGCUCGUAGGCGGUCUGUCGCGUCGGCUGUGAAAUCCCGGAGCUCAACUCCGGGUCUGCAGUCGAUACGGGCAAACUGGAGUACUGCAGGGGAGACUGGAAUUCCUGGUGUAGCGGUGGAAUGCGCAGAUAUCAGGAGGAACACCGGUGGCGAAGGCGGGUCUCUGGGCCGAUACUGACACUGAGAAGCGAAAGCGUGGGGAGCGAACAGG
rnacentral:rRNA from 1 species